GACAACGCAACAUGUUGGAUCACCAAAUUCACCUUUGGAAGGUCAUUCUCCAAACGCACCCAAUGAAAAUGGUUCGUCGUUCCAACCACAUUCUCCAUCAUCGUCACCUGGUCAAGAAGAAAGUGUGGAGAGUCCUUCAGGUUCCGCUAGGGAAACACCUACAAACGAAGCAAGUUUCAUUGGAAGAUCACCAAAUAAUAAUGAAGAUCAUUUGAAAACAUCAAGUGGGGCUCCUUCGUCAACACCUACAAUUGGUAAAUCAAUUCCAUCGUUGGAACCACAACAAGAAGACAUGGCAUCUCCACAAACAGGAUCUCCUCGACGAACACCGACAGAUAAUAAAAAUCAUGUGAAACGAAAGGGUCAAACAACAACGCAACAUGUUAGAUCACCAAAUUCACCUUUGGAAGGUCAUUCUCCAAACGCACCCAAUGAAAAUGGUUCGUCGUUCCUACCACAUUCUCCAUCAUCGUCACCUGGUCAAGAAGAAAGUGUGGAGAGUCCUUCAGGUUCCGCUAGGGAAACACCUACAAACGAAGCAAGUUUCAUUGGAAGAUCACCAAAUAAUGAAGAUCAUUUGAAAACAUCAAGUGGGGCUCCUUCGUCAACACCUACAAUUGGAAAAUCAAUUCCAUCGUUGGAACCACAACAAGAAGACAUGGCAUCUCCUCAACCAGUUUCUUCUCGACUAACCCCGACAAAUAAUGAAAAUCGUGUGAAACGAAAGGGUGAAACAACAACUCAACAUGUUGGAUCACCAAAGACACCUUUGGAAGGUCAUUCUCCAAACGCACCCAAUGAAAAUGGAUCGUCGUUCCUACCACAUUCUCCAUCAUCGUCACCUGGUCAAGAAGAAAGUGUGGAGAGUCCUUCAGGUUCCGCUAGGGAAACACCUACAAACGAAGCAAGUUUCAUUGGAAGAUCACCAAAUAAUAAUGAAGAUCAUUUGAAAAUAUCAAGUGAGGCUCCUUCGUCAACACCUACAAUUGGUAAAUCAAUUCCAUCGUUGGAACCACAACAAGAAGACAUGGCAUCUCCACAAACAGGAUCUCCUCGACUAACACCGACAGAUAAUGAAAAUCAUGUGAAACGAAAGGGUCAAACAACAACGCAACAUGUUGGAUCACCAAAGACACCUUUGGAAGGUCAUUCUCCAAACGCACCCAAUGAAAAUGGAUUGUCGUUCCUACCACAUUCUCCAUCAUCGUCACCUGGUCAAGAAGAAAGUGUGGAGAGUCCUUCAGGUUCCGCUAGGGAAACACCAACAAACGAAGCAAGUUUCAUUGGAAGAUCACCAAAUAAUGAAGAUCAUUUGAAAACAUCAAGUGGGGCUCCUUCGUCAACACCUACAAUUGGAAAAUCAAUUCCAUCGUUGGAACCACAACAAGAAGACAUGGCAUCUCCUCAACCAGUUUCUUCUCGACUAACACCGACAAAUAAUGAAAAUCGUGUGAAACGAAAGGGUGAAACAACAACUCAACAUGUUGGAUCACCAAAUUCACCUUUGGAAGGUCAUUCUCCAAACGCACCCAAUGAAAAUGGUUCGUCGUUCCAACCACAUUCUCCAUCAUCGUCACCUGGUCAAGAAGAAAGUGUGGAGAGUCCUUUAGGUUCCGCUAGGGAAACACCUACAAACGAAGCAAGUUUCAUUGGAAGAUCACCAAAUAAUGAAGAUCAUUUGAAAACAUCAAGUGGGGCUCCUUCGUCAACACCUACAAUUGGUAAAUCAAUUCCAUCGUUAGAACCACAACAAGAAGACAUGGCAUCUCCACAAACAGGAUCUCCUCGACUAACACCGACAGAUAAUAAAAAUCAUGUGAAACGAAAGGGUCAAACAACAACGCAACAUGUUAGAUCACCAAAUUCACCUUUGGAAGGUCAUUCUCCAAACGCACCCAAUGAAAAUGGUUCGUCGUUCCUACCACAUUCACCAUCAUCGUCACCUGGUCAAGAAGAAAGUGUGGAGAGUCCUUCAGGUUCCGCUAGGGAAACACCUACAAACGAAGCAAGUUUCAUUGGAAGAUCACCAAAUAAUAAUGAAGAUCAUUUGAAAACAUCAAGUGAGGCUCCUUCGUCAACACCUACAAUUGGUAAAUCAAUUCCAUCGUUGGAACCACAACAAGAAGACAUGGCAUCUCCACAAACAGGAUCUCCUCGACUAACACCGACAGAUAAUAAAAAUCAUGUGAAACGAAAGGGUCAAACAACAACGCAACAUGUUAGAUCACCAAAUUCACCUUUGGAAGGUCAUUCUCCAAACGCACCCAAUGAAAAUGGUUCGUCGUUCCUACCACAUUCUCCACCAUCGUCACCUGAUCAUGAAGAAAUUGUGGAGAGUCCUUCAGGUUCUGCUAGGGAAACACCUACAAACGAAGCAAGUUUCAUUAGAAGAUCACCAAAUAAUGAAGAUCAUUUGAAAACAUCAAGUGGGGCUCCUUCGUCAACACCUACAAUUGGUAAAUCAAUUCCAUCGUUGGAACCAAAACAAGAAGACAUGGCAUCUCCUCAAACAGGAUCUCCUCUGCCAACACCGACAAAUAAAGAAAAACGUGUGAAACGAAAGGGUCAAACGACAACGCAACAUGUUGGAUCACGAAAUUCACCUUUGGAAGGUGAUUCUCCAAACGCACCCAAUGAAAAUGGUUCGUCGUUUCAACCACAUUCUCCAUCAUCGUCACCUGACCAUGAAGAAAGUGUGGAGAGUCCUUCAGGUUUUGGUAGGGAAACACCUACAAACGAAGCAAGUUUCAUUGGAAGAUCACCAAAUAAUGAAGUUCAUUUGAAAACAUCAAGUGGGGCUCCUUCGUCAACACCUACAAUUGGACAAUCAAUUCCAUCGUUGGAACCACAACAAGAAGAUAUGGCAUCUCCACAACCAGUUUCUUCUCGACUAACACCGACAAAUAAUGAAAAUCGUGUGAAACGAAAGGGUCAAAUAACAACUCAACAUGUUGGAUCACCAAAGACACCUUUGAAAGGUCAUUCUCCAAACGCACCCAAUGAAAAUGGUUCGUCGUUCCAACCACAUUCUCCAUCAUCGUCACCUGACCACGAAGAAAGUGUGGAAAGUCCUUCAGGUUUUGGUAGGGAAACAAGUACAAACGAAGCAAGUUUAAUUGGAAGAUCACCAAAUAAUGAAGAUCAUUUGAAAACAUCAAGUGGGGCUCCUUCGUCAACACCUACAAUUGGAAAAUCAAUUCCAUCAUUGGAACCCCAACAAGAAGACAUGACAUCUCCACAUAUCGGAUCUCCUCGACCAACACCGACAAGCAAU
rnacentral:lncRNA from 1 species